CCUACGGGCGGCAGCAGUAGGGAAUCUUCCACAAUGGGCGAAAGCCUGAUGGAGCAACGCCGCGUGGGUGAAGAAGGUCUUCGGAUCGUAAAACCCUGUUGUUAGAGAAGAAAGUGCGUGAGAGUACCUGUUAACGUUUCGACGGUAUCUAACCAGAAAGCCACGGCUAACUACGUGCCAGCAGCGGCGGUAAUACGUAGGUGGCAAGCGUUAUCCGGAUUUAUUGGGCGUAAAGGGAACGCAGGCGGUCUUUUAAGUCUGAUGUGAAAGCCGUCGGCUUAACCGGAGUAGUGCAUUGGAAACUGGGAGACUUGAGUGCAGGAGAGGAGAGUGGAACUCCAUGUGUAGCGGUGAAAUGCGUAGAUAUAUGGAAGAACACCAGUGGCGAAAGCGGCUCUCUGGUCUGUAACUGACGCUGAGGUUCGAAAGCGUGGGUAGCAAACAGGAUUAGAUACCCCUGUAGUC
rnacentral:rRNA from 1 species